AUUGAACGCUGGCGGCAUGCCUUACACAUGCAAGUCGAACGGCAGCACGGGUGCUUGCACCUGGUGGCGAGUGGCGAACGGGUGAGUAAUACAUCGGAACAUGUCCUGUAGUGGGGGAUAGCCCGGCGAAAGCCGGAUUAAUACUGCAUACGAUCCACGGAUGAAAGCGGGGGACCUUCGGGCCUCGCGCUAUAGGGUUGGCCGAUGGCUGAUUAGCUAGUUGGUGGGGUAAAGGCCUACCAAGGCGACGAUCAGUAGCUGGUCUGAGAGGACGACCAGCCACACUGGGACUGAGACACGGCCCAGACUCCUACGGGAGGCAGCAGUGGGGAAUUUUGGACAAUGGGCGAAAGCCUGAUCCAGCAAUGCCGCGUGUGUGAAGAAGGCCUUCGGGUUGUAAAGCACUUUUGUCCGGAAAGAAAUCCUUGACUCUAAUACAGUCGGGGGAUGACGGUACCGGAAGAAUAAGCACCGGCUAACUACGUG
rnacentral:rRNA from 1 species